UUUUUCUUGUUGUUUUGAAAGCUUUUGCUUUAUAAUGACAAAUACACAGAUUUUUUAAAAAUGUUUAAUGUCUAUUUAUUUUUGAGAGAGAGAGAGAAAGAAAGCAGGGGAGGGGCAGAGAGAGAGAGACACACACACAGAAUCUAAAGCAGGCUCUAGGCUCUGAGCUGUCAGCACAGAUCCUGAUGCAGGGCUCGAACUAACAAACUGUGAGAUCAUGACCUGAGCCAGAAGUCAGACACUUAACUGACUGAGCCACCCAGGUGCUCCCCGAAGAAUUUUAAAUGAUAACUUCACAUACAUACACACACUCUAACACGGGAGUACAUUUUACGGCUCUCUCGUACCUUCUAUUUUUAAGCUUUUUAUUCAUGAGGCAAAUUUAUUCUGUAUACAUUAUGCCCAAGGAUAUAUGCUGCACAUGAUGGUGGACGCGAAACUCUUCGAGAUGUACAGACUCUGCCCUCAAGAGGCUUAUACUCCCUUUGGCUGCCUAGGACCCCCAAGUGGAUAUCUCCAUUGCCGAGCAGCAAGCUAUGCCAAUCACAUGGACAAUAAGAAAAGCGAGUUUUGAAGAACCAGAUGUUCCUUCUUAUCCUGUGUCUUGGAACAACCUGAGCUCAGCCUUCACUAAGAACCAGAGACAAGGAUGAGUCAGGGCCUGAACAAAAUUAAAACAGGCCCCACAAACAUGUUAAGGUCAGAAAAAAGACCUGAGAAUUUUCUGACACUUUUAACUCAUAAAAUAAGCACUCUUCACUUAAGAAUAUCUCUAUAAGUUGAGGGCCUAAUUUGUUAGUGCAAUAUGAAAACAAUUCGAAGUUUCAAGAAAUCGUUUUGGAGAAAGGAGAUACCAUAUACUCUUUUGCUGCCGAUGAACAAUGUUUACGUAGCCACAGUAAUGUAAACAUUGUUGAUUUUCCACUUGUGGAACCACCCCACAGAAAAAAACAAAGAUUUGUUUAUUUGAAUUGUGUAUUUAUCAUUGUCAUCAACCUUCAAAUGCAAGACUAAAUGUAAAUAAGUAUAUGGUGGCAAAACUCAGGAGGUAGGCAUUGGAGAAGGAGUUGAGAAAGGGUAGCAUCCCUAUGAGCCUCACCUUAAAAAGCGAAGAACUAAGGAUACUUUACUUCUUCUCUAGCUGAUAAAAGAGAGAUUAAAAUACAUUACUUAAAGCCACAGAAGUAACUAAUAAUGGAACCAAACAAGAGAGAUGAAUUUAUUGGUUAGCUGAGGAGAGAAGAAACACCGGAGUGAAAUUCUCGUUUCCCAUAGCAAGGAGCCAAUAUACAAAGUGCGCAAUUGAUAAAUCAAGAAAUUGUAGAAGAUCUAUUGUCUUUAGUGAUGUGGCGGUAACUACAAAAAAGGACGGGGCAAAGUCAUUUGAAAAGUAGAUGCAAUUGGGAAGGGGUGAUAUCAGUAAUGAUAGCCUUUUAUGACACACACUUUUAUGUACAAAUUGAGUUUUUCAAUUAUUUUCCCGAAUUACUCUGAUUUAAAAUAAUAAAAGUAAUAACAACAGUGAUGAUAAUAAUU
rnacentral:lncRNA from 1 species